AUUGAACGCUGGCGGCAUGCUUUACACAUGCAAGUCGAACGGUAACAGGCCUUCGGGUGCUGACGAGUGGCGAACGGGUGAGUAAUGCAUCGGAACGUGCCCAGAGGUGGGGGAUAACGCAGCGAAAGCUGUGCUAAUACCGCAUGUGAUCUGAGGAUGAAAGCGGGGGACCAGGCAGCAAUGUUUGGCCUCGCGCCUUUGGAGCGGCCGAUGUCAGAUUAGGUAGUUGGUGGGGUAAAGGCCUACCAAGGCGACGAUCUGUAGCUGGUCUGAGAGGACGACCAGCCACACUGGGACUGAGACACGGCCCAGACUCCUACGGGAGGCAGCAGUGGGGAAUUUUGGACAAUGGGCGCAAGCCUGAUCCAGCAAUGCCGCGUGCGGGAAGAAGGCCUUCGGGUUGUAAACCGCUUUUGUACGGAACGAAAAGGCUCUGGCUAAUACCUGGGGCUGAUGACGGUACCGUAAGAAUAAGCACCGGCUAACUACGUG
rnacentral:rRNA from 1 species